rnacentral:rRNA from 1 species
GGGUGCGAUCAUACAAGCACCAAUGCACCGGAUCCCAUCAGAACUCCGCAGUUAAGCGUGCUUGGGCGAGAGUUGUACUAGGAUGGGUGACCUCC